UAUGGAGGGUGCAAGCGUUGCUCGGAAUUAUUGGGCGUAAAGGGCAGGUAGGUGGUCUUAUUUGUCUGGGGUGAAAGCCUUGAGCUUAACUCAAGAAGUGCCCCAGAAACGGUAAGACUGGAGUCCUGGAGAGGGUCGUGGAAUUCCCGGUGUAGCGGUGAAAUGCGUAGAGAUCGGGAGGAACACCAGAGGCGAAGGCGGCGACCUGGACAGGCACUGACACUCAACUACGAAAGCGUGGGGAGCAAACAGG
rnacentral:rRNA from 1 species